CUCCUACGGGGGGCAGCAGUGGGGAAUAUUGCACAAUGGGGGAAACCCUGAUGCAGCGACGCCGCGUGAGCGAUGAAGUAUUUCGGUAUGUAAAGCUCUAUCAGCAGGGAAGAAAAUGACGGUACCUGACUAAGAAGCCCCGGCUAACUACGUGCCAGCAGCCGCGGUAAUACGUAGGGGGCAAGCGUUAUCCGGAUUUACUGGGUGUAAAGGGAGCGUAGACGGCGGUGCAAGCCAGAUGUGAAAGCCCGGGGCUCAACCCCGGGACUGCAUUUGGGACUGUGCUGCGAGAG
rnacentral:rRNA from 1 species